GAUGGCUUCCUCUGAUUGGCUGGAGGGUAAUUCGUAGUCGUCUUGAGGCCUUCCUUGGGUGUUCUUGCCAUUUGCCCCUCUAGAAGUCUUGGUGAAAAAAUCUAAUUUCCGGCACUUUGGGUUGAAGAAUGACAACUCCACAAUGUCAACGAACCAAGAGGACAAGAAUAGGCCUAAAAGGAUGGGAAUAGCUGAAUGGCAUGUCCAUGGACCGAGAGGAAUUUACCCUGUCUGGCAUAGAUUGAAGAGAAGUUGCCACAUUGAAGCAUAGUAUAAUCUCCAGGUAUGCAGUAUGCUUGGAAAUGAAAAGAUUACCCAUUUGAACAGGGCACUGAUGCCAUUCGAGUUGAAAUUUGAAGCAUAGAUUCCAAUGGCAAUGAAGCCCUCUACUUCGCGAUUUACCAAACGUUUGGUAUUGUUUUUCCAGUCUAGAUGGGAUGGAAUGAAGCGCAUAGCUUAUUUUGGUAACAUGGUUAAACCAGAGUAUUGCCAAAGAUACCAGACGAGUACUAAGGAAUUAGAGAAAUACAUCCCACUGAAGAAACUUAUGAGAAUAGCAGGGACGAAGUAGCAAAAUAGCAGGGAUGAAGUAGCAAAAUAUAGUAUAUUUAGAAGUAUAUUUUCAGAAAAACCUCUGUAAAGCUGAUGACAAGGAGCCUAAAGGGGUUUUGUUCUAUUCAGUACAUACCAAGAUCAACUGCAAGAAAACAGUGUAUUAGCAUACCAAGUUUGACCGCAAGAAAACUGUGUACGUUAUGCCAAGCACCAAGGCACUUUCUCCCUUUCAAUGGUUAAGUUGAUGUAAGGAGGGAGUUUAAGUCAUUUGGACACCUCAAGACAAAAGAGAAGGAAUGGAAAUGAAAGCCAAAGGAUUUAAAGAUGAACUGCAUCGAUGUUUGUUCCAGAAGUGUGUAUAUAAUAGAGAAGAGUCAAGUGAGAAUGAAGAUGCACAGCAGCAGCAUUCCUUAAAACUUCUGUUGUAUUUAUUCCUGUUAACUUCCACUAGUGUUUUGUUGUUCUCUGAAAAUCUUGGUGUCUGGUACAGUUCAUAAUAAGCAAAUGUGGAGUUUUCUUUUGAAACUUUCUUUUUAGGAAGUGUACCAGAGGGAUUUGAAGAGCACCAAAAUGCGAGUGGAAGUUAACAGGUUUUAUUGGCAUAAAUUAAGUUUUAAAGAAAGCUGGUGUUUUGUAUCUAAAUUCUAACUUUCCGCGUUCCUCUUUCUCUUGUUAUCUCAAAGAUGAAGUGACAGAAGCGAUAUUAACAUAUGGGGUAUUAUAAACUUCUAUUUUGUCUGGUUCAAAACACUGGACUGUGUAAAUAUAAAAAAUUAAUAU